rnacentral:rRNA from 1 species
AUGGCAGGCCAUCACCACCGACCUAAAAGAAUAGUCGCACAAGCUCAUCAACCAAGUGAUGAGACUCAAGGGAACAACAAUGAGAAUUGUCCCUCCUGCAACAAUGGGAGUACCUUCAACAAUGAUGGUGGUGUAACAACUAAGAAAAGGAAGGGGCGGACACACACCCAACUAAAAAGGCCACCAAAUUGCAUUCGCAUUGCAAUUCAACCCAAAGGUGACAGUCACUUUGAAGGAGAUAGGGGGAUAGGUGGCCAGAUUACUGCUCUUCUCACAUGUGAAUACCCGUCCAUUAUCAAGGAGAAGAAUAAGGAAGGUGUGGAAAUCAAGCGUCAUGCAUCUUCUUGGGAAGAUUAUUACAUUAACAAAUUACUGAAGGUGAAAAUAUUGGGGAAGCAGCUGCACAUCGUUUGA